CAAGCGACGACACCUUACCCAAAGUGUUUAAGGAAAAUCCGCUAAUUUGUUUCAAGAGAAACAAAACAUUAAAGGACAUUUUGGUACACACGGACCCCAUUAAAAGCUACAGCCAAGAAGUAGAAAUUCAACAUCGUGGCAGUGUCCGUUGUUUAGGGUGCGUUACAUGUAGCCAUAUGACUCCAGCAAAAUCUUUCCAACACCCACACGAUAACAAGGUGUUUAAGAUACAACACACAAUUACGUGUAAAACACCUUUUGUGGUCUAUAAAUUAACAUGUCCAUGUGGGUUAGC